GUGGGCGUGGGGCUGCUGGCCGGGCUUCCGGGCGCCCGCAGCUCGGAAGCUGGAGCGCGUCUCUAGCCGAGGGCUGUGCCCUGCUUCCGCGUCUGGAGCCCCUCCCGGCCGUGUGCGCCCCUCCUUCCCACCCCCCCCCCCCGGAGGCGGGCACCGGCCCCUCCGUCCCCUCCCACGCGGCUUGGAAAGCGCUUGGGGGUAGUGUCAGGGCUUCAGAAGGUCGUCCGCGGGCCGGGAAGUAACCUAACGCUCCGGCCGGGUGGCUGCUCCAUGGCUGAAACCGCGACGACUGGACGGUGCGGGGAGGUGACCAGAUGUGGACCCAUUUGGAAGACAUCUCGGGGCGCAGGGAGGGGCCUCCAGCCCCCACACUGACCUCCCUUGACAGCAGAGCCCACCCGGAGUCCACCCUCGUCCGCAGUCCCCUGCGGUGAAGACGGAGAGGUGCUGAUCACGUUCCAAGAGUGACUGACGCCGUCCAGCCACGGCAUGGAGCCGAGCUGCGCGGCCGGAGGAGAAGGACGAAGGCAGCAGAACCCAGGAGCGUCCAGGUGAAGAGCAGACGGCAGAGCCAGAGGGGGGCCUCCAACGCAGCUGGGGGGAAAGGACCCCUCGCCUCAGAGCCAGGCAGCAGGAAGAGCACCAAGCUUCCAGCAGAAGCUACAGAGCCGGCGGAAGGGAAAGGAAAGCAAAGUCGAUUGCUGUCAGCCAGGUCGUCUAAACCCAGCAAAAAAAUGUGCUUUGAGAUGAGGCCAGAAGAGACGCUUCCAAGGGUCCAGCUCCGAGGACGUUUACCACCACCGACCCUCCUUGAUGGCAGCUGGUGUCCUUGCUGGAGGCGGGGAUCCUCACGGGAAGGAAGGGCGCACAGCAGGAAGGUCUGCUGUCCGCAAACCCGAUGGAGACCCCGACGCGCGCGCACGCGCUCGCGAGGCUCGAGGCAGAUCCCGAGGCGGAAGCCCCUGACCGCAGUUGCCAGCAGUUGCGAGGGGCACAGCGGUGCACCGGCGGCUGGCCGCCCCGUCCCGAGGGGAGCUGCGGCCCUGAAGGGACUUCGCAGCUGCGACUGAGUUAAGUAAGGGCCUUACAGUGAGGAGAUGAUCCUGGAUUAUCUGACUGGGCCCUAAUGUCCUUGUCGGGGGGUAACGGGGGAGAUUUGACAUGACAGAGGCCCCGUGGGGACUUCAGAAGAGAAAGCCUCCUGAAGACUGCCCUAAACUCUGUCCUCGGGACUUCUUUUAAUCAGGUAUGGUUAGACCAGAGGACACAGACCCCAGAGAAAAGAGGCAGGCCCACACGGGGAGGCCGAGAGCAGAGGAGCAUUAUUAAAGGAUCCCACGUGCAGGGCGUCUCGAGUGCCCAGUGGCAGCAUGCAUCCCCUUUAACAGAGGAAAGGGCAGUGGAAAGCUUUAGAAGCUGGCAUGGGGGUGAGUUGGCCACGGUGCUUGAAUGAAGGGAGAUUCAGGCCUGGAACGAGACAGGGACCCUCCUGGAGGCCCACUUGCUGGACUGGAGUCUGGAGAAGGCUGCCCGAGGAGGCCUGUCUGCGUCUCAGUUCAGCCCUCUGGGCGCCCUCAGAGCCAGGCUGUGAGACUGACCCUUGUGUGUGUGUCAGCCCGAAAGAACCAGCUCUCCCUGACCCCGUGUGUGGCCUUCGUGCGCCUGGAGACAUGCGGGAUUUCAGUGUAUUCAUGUGAGACCAGAGAUUCCCAAAGUCCUUCACUCCUAAGCGGGAAUUUUACGCAAAGCUUGGACAGUGUGAUCACGUGGGAAUGGGCCACUCGGGGGGCCCGCUGCUGGUAGGCUGAGCUCGGGUUCUUUCCGUCACCAGGGCUGAGGGCCAAGGGCAGCGGGGCUGCAGGGAGCCCGGUCACAGGGCGGGAGGCGGGGUGUGGCUGGAAGCACCCUUCGCAAGUCCAGGGACGCCCACACUGAGACUCCGGUCGUCCUCCAGGUGGCCAGGAGGUCUGGGGGGAAAUGCGUCGCCCCCAGACCCAACAGAGAUCGGAAGACGUUGGAUCUGUGUGUCCGUGUCUCUCCUUGGAGGAGGGCGUCGCCAUGGUGAGGCCUCACCUGUGCUUGGAGGAGAGUGCUGCUCUGGUCAUGGGCUCAGGGCCAGGCCUGCCCUGGGCAGCCUGGAGCAGCGGGGCUGUCCCUGGGGGUGGAGCCAGCAGCAGGAGAGGAAACUUCUGGCUGCUGGCUGCUGAGGCCUCGGUGCUGACACUGUAGAAUUGCGGGUGUGGGGGCCCAGCAGCGGGACCACUGCGGCCUGGUGUGGUUUUCGCCCACCUGGAUUUCCUGGGAAAAGAACAGGCUGAAUCAGGCUUUGUUCUCCCCUCGAUGCCCUUGAGUCGGCUCUUUCCCUUCAGUCUUUUCUCCUUCUCCAUUUAUUUAUUCGUCCAUUCUCCUGUUGGGGUUCUCGUCCCUGUCUCUGGCUGGAAAGAGGGCCAGGGCCCUGCCAGCAGCACCAGCAGUCUUUCCCCUUCUGCUUUCUCUUAAACAAAAGUCUGUUUUCUCUCUUAAGUGAGCCCUGGCCUCUAUCUCUAAGCAGCUAAGAACGGUUUGCUUUUACCUGCCCCCAUCCAUCUCUGACUGUAUUGACGAUUUUUGCUCAUUUCCUGUGUUCCUUCCUGGAGAAGGGAACGGCUGCCCACUCCAGGAUUCUGGCCCGGAGAACCCCCAGGGGUCGCAGAGUCGGCCACGACUGAUCCCCCCUCCAGGAUUCUGGCCCGGAGAACCCCCAGGGGUCGCAGAGUCGGCCACGACUGACCCCCACUCCAGGAUUCUGGCCCGGAGAACCCCCAGGGGUCGCAGAGUCGGCCACGACUGACCCCCACUCCAGGAUUCUGGCCCGGAGAACCCCCAGCGGUCGCAGAGUCGGCCACGACUGAGUGACCUUCAGUCUCACUUUCCCUGUGUUCUUGGCGCUCCAGCCUCUGGGGCCUUGAUCCUGGAGAGGCUGCCCCUAUCCAGGACUGCACCCCCUUCUCAGACAGGUCCAGAGCCCUCACCCCAGUCGGCCCUUCACCUGCACUCAUGCGGUGCCUCAUUAUGCCCCCCAGUCACCCCCAGGCUGGCACUGGACAACCCGGGGCUGCCCCGGCACUCGGGCCUGCCGGAAGCGCUCAAGCUUCCCAGUCCUGGGCUUCCUCCGCGGUCCUGCGCUGCUCACCACUCCUUCCUGCCAACCCCCCGUGAAGGCUCUGGGCCACGCUUUCUUCUCUUCUGCCUCCUGACCCAAACCUCUACUCUGGACGUGCCGCCCCUGCUCUCAAGCAAUGUGAAUAAUAAAUUCUUCGUCCUGA